ensembl:ncRNA asRNA:CR45000 antisense RNA:CR45000
CUUGUGUAAGUCCUAAACUAUCAUAAAAUAUAUCAGGUAAAUCCAACAACUAAAUAGUGCAAUUCUGCGAGUCCAAUGGAUAGUAGUGCAGAUCCAUCAUGCAGGCGAGGGUCGUGGUGAAUCUCAUGCCAUAAGUAACAGCUCCAUCGCCGCCAAGUCGCACCAGUUUGUUCCUUUCGGUGACAUCGUGCAGAAAACUAAAUCCGAAUAAUUUAGAAAAUUAAAAG